GCAGCCUUUGUUCCAGCAUGUUGUCGGGAGGCAGCAUCCGACAUUAACUGGGCUUGGAAUCUGCUCCUGUAGGAAGUGCAUCCUCCAUGGAGGAACUGAGAGGGCCACUGGUGGAGAAGCUGGUGGCUCAUACAUUCCAGGCUGUGCUAGCGGUUCGGCCAGUGACACUCCAAGGUUUCUUGUGAGGAACCACUCUGGCUCUUUCAAGAAUGGGGAGUUCUUGAAUUCUCUCCCGCUUUCCAGGGAGCUCUCAGCCACAGUGAUUGCUCAGCACCCCUACCCCUGCCCUCCACCCAGCUCCCAGGAAGGUGUGUCAACAUGCCCGAGUGCUGUGAACGUUAUGAGAGGGCCUUGUUGGGAACACGUGCUCCUGGGAAUCAGCCCUUCCCUCUGUCCUGUUCCCACUCCUCCCCGACGAUGCUCCUGCUCAGAACCCACUCCUCACCUCAGUGAAGCAACGCAGCGGGCACCCUGUGGACAAAGCUGGAUAUUGGCUCUGAAUAAAAGCGAAUCAUGGGGAAAAUCAGUGUCUCAGUAAAAUGGGGUUUUCUUAGUAGAGACCAGACUGUGAAGGACCUUGCUUCAUUCCAUCUUUGAGGAGGAUGAUGAUUCAGGGACAUUGGCCCAAGAUCAAAGUGGUAUUUUUAGGUUGUAUUUACUUAGCUAUUUGCCGUCUACCUCCUUAUUUCCAGGUAGCAACUUCCUUCUUAUAUCUGAGAUGUUUAAGAGAUGAUGAAACCAGCUUGCACACACUUCUCAAAGUGUGUUUGUUCGCAUCCAUUAUUUCACUGGGGACCGGCUAUUAUCCUCUCCAUUUUCUUUAUAAGGAUAUUGAAAGAGAGAUUAAAUAACUUGUUCAAGGCCGCAUAGCUAGUUAACAGCUGAACUAGGCUUAAAACCAACGUCUGAAGGCUCCUAUUCCAGUGGCAGCUGCUGUGUGCUUCUUCUGUUUUCCAUCAGUUUGGAAGGGAGCAUAAAGUCUACAGCCACAUGGGUGGGGUCAGCAGAAAGAUUGACCACCAAGCCUGAGGCAGGUGAGGCUGAUCUCCUGGGCACAGCCUCUCUGCACAGGAGUUCACAGAAGUGAUAUGAUCCAAAGUUGCUGAGGGAAAAGCCCUUAUUUGUGGAAUUAACGGCAGGUCUCUCUUGAGGUCAGAAUGAAUGUUAUUGACAUUAUUGUUUGUAUUGUGGUAAGGUAUACAUAAUGGAAAAUGUACCAUUUUGGCUGGACAUGGUGGCUCACGCCUGUAAU
rnacentral:lncRNA from 10 species